rnacentral:tRNA from 2 species
ACAAAGGAGCAGCACUGCUAAUUUACAGAGGAGAUCCUGAAAGCUACUUUACAUUUAUCACACCAGAGGCAUGCA